UACAGAGGGUGCAAGCGUUGUUCGGAAUCACUGGGCGUAAAGCGCACGUAGGCGGCUUUCUAAGUCAGGGGUGAAAUCCUGGAGCUCAACUCCAGAACUGCCUUUGAUACUGGAGAGCUUGAGUCCGGAAGAGGUGAGUGGAACUCCGAGUGUAGAGGUGAAAUUCGUAGAUAUUCGGAAGAACACCAGUGGCGAAGGCGGCUCACUGGUCCGGUACUGACGCUGAUGUGCGAAAGCGUGGGGAGCAAACAGGGAUAGAA
rnacentral:rRNA from 1 species